UAUCAGGAUGGAAUCUGAUAAAGCAGAUUUUAUUUGUGGUUGCAGUGGUGUGCCUCCUGUAAGUAGGUGAGCAUACAGAAAACAGUGUUGCAUCUUUCAUGCCCUAUUAUUUGAUGCUUAUCUCUUUCUCAUAGGCAGUGCUAUGUGGGGGUAAGUGUAACACUGUAAGUCUGGGGCUCGUUCUGUGCCUCUGCCCGAGUUGUGUGCUUUUUAGAGGAACUGGGUUGGAGAGUUGCUGUUUCUUUCUUGGUCUUGUUGAGGCUUGUGCUGGAGAAUCAGGCAUCUGUCCACGUGUUCCCUCUCAUCCAAACAUGAGAAAAAACUCAAGCUCGGUGUGCUGGGUUUGUAGUUGUUUGCGUUGUUUACGGAGCUCUUAACAAACGGCGCUCUAAAGGGAGCGAGAAUAAUGUGCCUCAGCCACAAAAUAUGCAUCAUAAAGAACCAAUUGUCCGCUGUUACCUGGGAUUUCCCACUCCGUGUUCUCAUCUCCUUGGUUGCUUUCACUUAGCGGGUGCUUCAGUUCUGCGGGGCUACUUGCACCAAAGGAGGGGAAACAACGUAUUCAGAUCAUCCCUUCAGUGGUGUUUUGCUUUGCCCCCAGGCCAGGUGUGUCCUUCAGCUAGUUACGCAGGAUGCGCUGUUCAUUUACAGCAGCUAGAGACCUCAAUUAAUAUAUGAGUGAGGACAGCAGGCUGUGAACUCCCCAGUUCAGCCUAGGUGGAGAUGUCCCUGUCUGAAUUUAUGUUCAGGAAUAUAUGUAUGGAAUAAUGCUGCUGAGAUCAACCACAUGCCAGUAUUUGUGUGAUACCGUGGGACUUCACUCUCACUGCUGUUUCAGACCAGGCUUCCUUCAAGAAUGAAUUGGCAGAUUUACUCUGUCACCUUGCUAUGUAAUGAAACAACUAUGAACCAGAACUACAAGGAUGAGCUUCAUAAGCACGGACUCCUUUUGCUCUUCCUGCUACCAUAGCUCAGUACAAGAAGAAGAAAUGCCAACAAAAUGCUGAAGACAUAUGUUAGAGGAAUAUGCCAUAUGCAGUCACGCAGUUGAACUCUCUACCAGAAAUAAGUAUUAGUACCAUUUUUAUUAAAAAAUGAAAAGAAGAAAACUCUAGGCCCAUGCUGGCUUAUGGUACAAUAAUCUAAAACAAUUUAAAAUCAGAUGUGUGAGUUCAGCGCUGGAAACAAAAAGUGAAGGCAAACCUAAAAAUCAUCUUUUUAUCCUUAUUCAUUUCAAGGCAUUUCAGGCUAAAGCCAGCGUAGAUUUUACAGAAAAGAGGAAUAAGAAAGAAGACACAAAGUAAUAAAAGCAACAACUUCCAGAUCUACAGUGAGCUUACCUAUGAUCUUUUCAUGUAUCACCUCCUCCUCCAAACAUCAGGCCUCUAAAGCUUCUGAUUUAAGCUGCUUAUGAUACAAGAAAGUAAGUUUCAGGGUGUUUCUAUCCUUAAUUUUGGCUCUCUUUCACAUACAAGACUUGGCAAGCUGACAUACUGCAUUUAUGCAAGAAACUGAAACAAACAUACCAACAUUCCUUGGGCAUAAAUUUGACUGCAAGCCCAUUAAUGACCUUUGGUUCCAUAUUUUUAUAUAGGUUCUGUGCUUAGUUUUGAACAGCACUCUAGUUCCUUGGGUGUAAGAGUCAGACCCACCCAGUGCAGGCUUCAGAAGUGACAAAGUGUAUCAUCCUCGGAGGAAAUUGGGUAGCACUUUUAAGAACUCCCAGAGAAGCUCAUCAGUGCGGCCUCAGUGAGGACAUUCCCUUCUAUCCAAAUUAUAAAUUUCCAUGAAAAUUGCAGCAACCUCAUUAGAAUACUAAGUUCAAGUUAAUACAUGAUAAAUUCAUAUUAAUAAAUUCAGCACUGGUAACUGAGAGGUACAAGCCUUAUGAUUUUGGAAAUACAACCU